UACGGGGGGAGCAAGCGUUGUUCGGAUUUACUGGGCGUAAAGGGCGCGUAGGCGGUCAGCACAAGUCAGUUGUGAAAUCUCCGGGCUUAACUCGGAAAGGUCAACUGAUACUGUGCGGCUAGAGUGCGGAAGGGGCAACUGGGAAUUCUUGGUGUAGCGGUGAAAUGCGUAGAUAUCAAGAGGAACACCUGCGGCGAAGGCGGGUUGCUGGGCCGACACUGACGCUGAGGCGCGAAAGCCAGGGGAGCGAACGGG
rnacentral:rRNA from 1 species